AGCAUGAUGAUGAGACUAUUUUUUGCCUUCAAAUUAAUGUAGAUAUAUUAUAUAUACCUUCAAAUUUCUCUGAAUUGCU
rfam:Eutrema salsugineum unplaced genomic scaffold scaffold_1, whole genome shotgun sequence.